rnacentral:rRNA from 1 species
GAUGAACGCUAGCGGCAGGCCUAAUACAUGCAAGUCGAACGCUCAGUAGCAAUACUGGGAGUGGCGCACGGGUGCGUAACGCGUACACAAUCUACCUCUAAGCGGGGGACACCUCCUGGAAACGGGGAUUAAUACCGCAUAAUAUGCCGAAGUCGCAUGACUUUGGUAUUAAAGCAGCAAUGCACUUAGAGAUGAGUGUGCGUCCCAUUAGGUAGUUGGUGAGGUAACGGCUCACCAAGCCCAUGAUGGGUAGCCGGUCUGAGAGGAUGGUCGGCCACACGGGCACUGAGACACGGGCCCGACUCCUACGGGAGGCAGCAGUAAGGAAUAUUGGUCAAUGGUGGAAACACUGAACCAGCCAUGCCGCGUGGAGGAAUAAGGUCCUACGGAUUGUAAACUCCUUUUGUACGAGGGAAGAAAAAUAGUUAGAUUUAUUCUAAUUUUAGUACGGUACUCGUAG